rnacentral:lncRNA from 1 species
UGGGAUGUGAGGACCAAUAACAUAUCUGCAUAUUUUUUCUUUCUAUUUUUUACUUAUUAAAAAACUCAUUUAACUCAUUUCACUAAAUUUUAAACUAAUCAAAAAUCUCUUUAAAUGUAUGAUUUAAUAUUUUUAUUUAUCAUUUAUAUAACAAUUUAUUUUUAGCGGAGUUUACCUUUUAUAUAAUGUUUUUUUUGUUGUAAUUGUUUUUACCUUUUAUAUAAUGUAUGGUUUUUUUUUGUAAUUGUGUUUACCUUUUAUAUAAUGUUUAAACUUUCUUUGUAUUUAUUAAAUUAAUAAAAAAAUUAAUUGAUAAGAAUUUGUAUUUUUAUUUUAAAUUUUUAAUUUACAAAAUUAUUCUUAACAUUUGGUUAAAUACACUAAUUCGACAAAUUAACUUGACGAGUUAGAUCUGCAUUUGUUCUGCAUGAUCUGUAUUUAUUCUGCAUGAUCUGCAUUUGUUCUGCUUGAUAUGCGUUUUUGAUUUGAUCUGCGUUUUUU